rnacentral:RNase_P_RNA from 2 species
UCAGAUGGCCGGAUGGCCGCCUUCGGCUCCGGCCGGGGGAGGAAAGUCCGGGCUCCACGGAAACACGGUGCCGGUUAACGGCCGGCGGGGGCGACCCCAGGGAAAGUGCCACAGAAAGCAAACCGCCGCGGUCCUUCGGGCCCGCGGUAAGGGUGAAAGGGUGCGGUAAGAGCGCACCGCGCCCCCGGCGACGGGGGCGGCACGGUAAACCCCACCGGGAGCAAGACCGAAUAGGGACGGCACGGUCCAGACCACCCACGGGGGUUCUUCCCAUGGGACGGCGUGGGCCAGGCGUGUUUCCGCGCCGCUGUUCGGGUUGGUCGCGCGAGGCGUCCGGCAACGGGCGUCCCAGAUGAAUGGCCAUCGCCCGGCACCGGGCGACCGGUGCCGGGACACAGAACCCGGCUUACAGGCCAUCUGACGCU